GUGGCGAACGGGUGAGUAAUACAUCGGAACGUGCCCAAUCGUGGGGGAUAACGCAGCGAAAGCUGUGCUAAUACCGCAUACUAUCUACGGAUGAAAGCAGGGGAUCGCAAGACCUUGCGCGAAUGGAGCGGCCGAUGGCAGAUUAGGUAGUUGGUGAGGUAAAGGCUCACCAAGCCUUCGAUCUGUAGCUGGUCUGAGAGGACGACCAGCCACACUGGGACUGAGACACGGCCCAGACUCCUACGGGAGGCAGCAGUGGGGAAUUUUGGACAAUGGGCGAAAGCCUGAUCCAGCCAUGCCGCGUGCAGGAUGAAGGCCUUCGGGUUGUAAACUGCUUUUGUACGGAACGAAACGGUCUUUUCUAAUACAGAAGGCUAAUGACGGUACCGUAAGAAUAAGCACCGGCUAACUACGUGCCAGCAGCCGCGGUAAUACGUAGGGUGCAAGCGUUAAUCGGAAUUACUGGGCGUAAAGCGUGCGCAGGCGGUUAUGUAAGACAGUUGUGAAAUCCCCGGGCUCAACCUGGGAACUGCAUCUGUGACUGCAUAGCUAGAGUACGGUAGAGGGGGAUGGAAUUCCGCGUGUAGCAGUGAAAUGCGUAGAUAUGCGGAGGAACACCGAUGGCGAAGGCAAUCCCCUGGACCUGUACUGACGCUCAUGCACGAAAGCGUGGGGAGCAAACAGGAUUAGA
rnacentral:rRNA from 1 species